AACAAAGUUAUAGCACCACAUUCAUAUUUCAGCCAACACAACGUCUCAGCAGGUUUUUUUUAAUACGUGAUGAAGGAUAUUUGAGCAAGAGAUAAACUGGUCCCAACACUUGAAUCGUUUUCACUUACUGAGUGACUGAAGACAUAUUUUGAAGUCCUUUGUUACAGCUUCAUAAACUAAAUGGCCCUUAGUCUAUAUCUGCAUAGCAGUGAAAGGGUUGUACAUGUAUGCACGUGUACAUGUCUGCACGUGCAGGCUUUGCUAAAGCACGGGCAUUGCUUUCCAUUGUGGACAUUUUUCCAGGGAGUUUAUAAUUAUAUGUUGUUAAUAUUUAUUUUACACAUCAUUCUUAUCGUUGCUGUAUAUUUUUUGCAAUGUGCUUUUGUGUUGAUUCUGAAGUGUGUUCUGGGUAAUAUUACCCAUUAUUUAUUUAUGCAUUUUGAAGAUAUCUUUUGUUUACAGGUACAUGUACUUACAUAGAUGGAGCGAUGUAACGCUCAAUGUGUCAGUGUCAAACUGUUCAUUUUAAUUUACUACUUCAAGUGUUCAAAACAUUAAUAUUUUAAUGGUAUUGUACGAUCGGUAUGGUUUAAUGUUGUACAGUUUAUAGCUAUACCGAGUACGUAUUCAGGGCUUGCAAUGAAAACUGUAUCGCCAACCAAAUGGUGCUACACAAUAAUGAACAUUUUUUUUGACGUAUUUAAGAAAAGAAAAGCAAAAGUAAUGCCAGGGUAUAAGGUUUAGGGUAAUGGAUGUUUGAUUUGAUAUUCUCGCUUACACAUAAGAAAUGUUAGGACAACAUGUCUACCAUAUCUACAUCUGUACGAAAUCAAGCCCAUGUAAGCGAGGUCUUAGUUUUGAGAUGUGCGGUAAAUGGCGGACAUGAAGAAAGGACGGAGAAAAAAAAUGCAUUAAUUUUUUAUUAAUAUUAAUCCUUUUUUUCGUCCAUUCUGAAUAGGGAAGGUGAAGGGUAAACAUGUAGCCCCACCCAUCUUGAAUGUUGUACAGCACUUGCGUUUUUAUUUGUUCGUGACAGUUUUUGAUUAAAAAAAUUAUUAUAAGUUCACUCCCAUUUUGAAUUUAUCUCGCUUGUUAUUCAUUUGUACACUGUACAUUUAUUUGGAAGUGAGCACCCCCUCCAAUUAUAGCUUUGUGACGAAACCACAUUCCAAAAUCCUACAGGAAGGGGGGGUGUGAAAGUUGUAUAAGAGUACUGAAUACAUUGUGAACUGUUGUGACAACGAAUGAUGUGCAUGCAAAGUUAUGAAUAUGUUGUAGAUGAGAAAGACACCAUUACGUUUAGAUAAAACAUAAAUUGUUACUGUAUAUUUACAUUGCUUACAGAUGCAUGCAUGAGGGUUGUGUGAAUUCUAAAGUUUGUUUAUUUAUUGAUGGACAGUAGAGCAUUCAUAUAGUUAUAAAUAUUUAAAUCU
rnacentral:misc_RNA from 1 species